AAACUUUUUUAUACCUAUUAAUAUUGAAGGAGGUAUAAAUUAUUGAUUUACACCUCUUAAAUAUUACAAGAGGUAUAGAUUAUUUUACCUAUUUAGUUUGUUUUUCCCGCCAUACUUUUUAUUUUUUGCGCAAAACUUCAUCUCCAUUGUCGGUUCACUCGUGUUGAGGUGGUUGGGUAGAGUUCUUCUUCUCGUUUCAAGUUGCUUUCCUUUCUCAUUCACCGUGCCUUUCUCAUUCACUGUAACUUUCACACAUUUCUCAGAAUCAGAAGUCUCAGAAGCAGCACUUCUCAGCGUCUUCGCACAUCAGAGAACAUUUCUCAACGUCGUCUUCCUCACUUUCAGUGGCUCGAGAGCUCAUCCUUCACCAUCNCAGAGCAUCUUCCUCACUUUCAGGUUAGGGUUUCUUCUGCAUUUCCUCAUUUCCUCAUCUUCCACCGAUUAUAAUCACAUUCUACCAAUUAUAGUCCCUUUCCACCGUNUAAAACCUCUUUUUCACCGAUCAAUCGGUCCAUUCUAAGGUUCUAUGGUUCCCUCACNGUUUUGCAUCGAUUAAACAAGUUCUCUUGAGGGGCGUGUGCUACCAGGGAACAACUCUUACAACUCAUAGAGGAUGGAUUUGCCUGGUACUGAUUGGCUGUCGGUCUCUACUAGUGAUGGAAAAAAAUAUUACUACAACAAUCNAACCAAGCUGCUGGCAAAUUCCAAAUGAGGUGUCUGAAUUGAAAAAGAAACAAGAUGGUGAUGUUACAAAAGAUCAGUUAAUGUCAGUUCCAAAUACUAAUGUAUUGUGUGAUAGAGGGUCUGGAAUGGUUACUCUGAAUGCUCCUNCUAUUAAUACUGGUGGUCNUGAU